rnacentral:lncRNA from 1 species
UCGGAGGACUAGGGUCGCUCCUCAACUAGUAAUAUUGAAGCCCUCAGCCCCCCCUACUAUCGACCAAGUCCCUACACCAAAGAGGUUAACAAGAGAAGAGCUUCGGGAGUGAUAUGCGAAGGGGUUAUGUUGGCAUUGUGAUGAGCCGUGGAGCCGUGAGCAUCGCUGUAGUAAAGGGAGACUUCUUAUGAUUGAACCAAUAGAAGAAGAGGUCAUUGAACAUCCAGAAGAGAGCCUUGAACAUGAAGAAAAAGAUGCAGAAGAAGAGCCACAACCGACUGAAGUUACGGUACAUGCACUAGCCAGCUACUCAAACCCG